rnacentral:rRNA from 1 species
CCUACGGGGGGCAGCAGUGAGGAAUAUUGGUCAAUGGACGAGAGUCUGAACCAGCCAAGUAGCGUGAAGGAUGACUGCCCUAUGGGUUGUAAACUUCUUUUAUAUGGGAAUAAAAUGUUCCACGUGUGGGAUUUUGUAUGUACCAUAUGAAUAAGGCUCGGCUAACUCCGUUCCAGCAGCCGCGGUAAUACGGAGGAUCCGAGCGUUAUCCGGAUUUAUUGGGUUUAAAGGGAGCGUAGGUGGGUUGUUAAGUCAGUUGUGAAAGUUUGCGGCUCAACCGUAAAAUUGCAGUUGAAACUGGCAGUCUUGAGUACAGUAGAGGUGGGCGGAAUUCGUGGUGUAGCGGUGAAAUGCUUAGAUAUCACGAAGAACUCCGAUUGCGAAGGCAGUUCACUGGACUGCAACUGACACUGAGGCUCGAAAGUGUGGGUAUCAAACAGGAUUAGAUACCCGGGUAGUC